rnacentral:rRNA from 1 species
GAUGAACGCUGGCGGCGUGCUUAAUACAUGCAAGUCGAACGAAUUGAAGAUGUGCCUGCACAUCUGAUGUUAGUGGCGAACGGGUGAGUAAUACAUAGGCAACUUGCCCCAAGGACUGGGAUAACACUUAGAAAUGAGUGCUAAUACCGGAUAGGUAAUACAAAGGCAUCUUAGGAUUAUUAAAGUUGGGUAUUCAACACCAUGGCCUUGGAUUAUGCUGUAUUAGCUAGUUGGUGAGAUAAAAGCCCACCAAGGCGAUGAUACAUAGCUGGUCUGAGAGGAUGAACAGCCACAUUGGGACUGAGACACGGCCCAGACUCCUACGGGAGGCAGCAGUAAGGAAUUUUCGGCAAUGGAGGAAACUCUGACCGAGCAACGCCACGUGAGUGAUGAAGGCCUUCGGGUUGUAAAGCUCUGUUGUAAAGGAAGAAUGUAUAGAAAAGGAAAUGUUUCUAUAGUGACGGUACUUUACUAGAAAGUCACGGCUUACUACGUGCCAGCAGCCGCGGUAA